rnacentral:rRNA from 1 species
UACGUAGGGGGCAAGCGUUGUCCGGAUUUAUUGGGCGUAAAGAGCUCGUAGGCGGUUUGUCGCGUCUGCUGUGAAAACCCGAGGCUCAACCUCGGGCCUGCAGUGGGUACGGGCAGACUAGAGUGCGGUAGGGGAGACUGGAAUUCCUGGUGUAGCGGUGAAAUGUGCAGAUAUCGAGGAGGAACACCGGUGGCGAAGGCGGGUCUUUGGGCCGAUACUGACACUGAGGAACGAAAGCAUGGGUAGCGAACAGG